GCCGCCGUAGCUCAGUGGUAGAGCGGCCGGCUGUUAACCGGCAGGUCGGGGGUUCGAAUCCCCCCGGCGGCG
rnacentral:tRNA from 1 species